CCUAAGCUAGACCCCAUCUCAUUCUCGUCUCUCUGAACUUAGAGACCAAAUGAUCCGUUCCCCCAUAGCCAACCCCUAGCGCUUUCUCACCCCUUCACCAGAAACCCGGCGGCAACGCUGCCACCGGCAACCAAAUCAACACCACAGAACCCCCAUCACACCCUGAACCCAAAUCCACAAGCCUCUUGGUUCGAAUCGUGCUACAUCUUCUCGAAUCUUCAAUUGAAGAAUCGAUCCAAGAUUCAACCUACGCCAAUCCACCCAAAUCGAUGCCUAACACUCCCCGGACUUCCCUCGUAACCAAACCAACCCUGGUUUGGUUCGAAUCUGGCUAGAAACGCUCUAAUCCCAAAUCAAACCUCAAGAACCCUAAAAAAUCCAAACCUGGAAACUGUUCAAAUUAGUGAAGGUUUGGGUGUUCAAUGGACCUUAGAAGUGUUCUCAGUUGAGAACACUUGAUUAAGGUCCGUUCGACCUUAAAAGAUUCGAGUCCGAGUUCAAUUCGAGUCUGUCUCUUUCGUAGUUUAUCCGAGGUAACUUUUCCUUUACUUUGUUUGUUUGUGUUCUAUUAAUGCAUGUGUAUAUUUUUUUAUUUUCUUAUUGUAAUUUUAUCAAUUUUUUUUCUUUUUCUAUCCACCUUCCAUCAAACCUUUUAUUUUGUCGAAUUUAUUUCUUUUUAGUGUUACGAAUAUAUUAUAGACCGCAUGAUUAAUUGAAUAAGGUCAUAGAUUAGUUAUGUUUCAUUAUCAUUCCCUAAUUUUGUCAAAUGCCACUGAAAUUACUUGUAUGCCUGUUUGCAUAUUUGAUUAUGUUUGGUUGUUACCAAUUAUGUAUAAUUGAUCCGAUAAGUAUCGUCGAUUAAUUUUUUUAAAAGUUGAAAGAAAAAAAAUGAUAAUAUUCUAUUUAUUUUUUCAAGUUCUAUAGUAUUUUCAUUUCCAUUACAAGAGUUGUAAUUUGGAGGAGCCUGUCAUUACCUGAAUUGAAAACCGAGCUAAUUGAUUAUUUUGUUUCAGUAAUUGAUGGUUUCUAUAUUUGAAUGCAUUGAAAUAGGCAUUUCUGAUUGUUUUUAGUCAUUCAAAUUUUGUUUAAUUAAUUUUAAGGAUUGGUUAUAGCUUAUUAAGUAGAAUUUAGUCUUAUUAAUUAGUUUUAGACAGAUUUUGGAAUUUUUUCUGUGCAUUAGGGCAGUAGUAUUAGGGGAAUUACAGGGGUAAUUUUGGAAGUUCAGAAGUUGAAAAAUGGUUUGACUGAGUAGUCUGUCCAGUAGGGCCCUAAUAGGCUUUAAUUUGAACUAAUUGAUAGGAGGGACCACUAAGGAAUGAGAGAUGUUUUUGUUGAUUGGAAAUUGGAAAUUAGCAACAGUAGAUAAUAAUAAAAGGGUAAAUGAUUCACAUAGUAGAGGAACAUAGUAGCUGGAAAGUAAAAAAAAGAAAUAAGGGGUAAUAAUAAAAGGCUAAUGGUAAAAGUAAAAAAAGGGGCUGAAAAAAGGGUUGUCUUUUGUAUAAAAUAGGGGUCAUUUGGGACUAGAAGGGAAAGAAUUGAAAAGAGGAUGAAAAAUUUCAGAUUGAGAGAAGUUUUUCUUUAGAGGUGAAAAACACAAAGAGUUUAGUAAUCUUUAAUCACUCUGUGAGAGUUUGAGUUGAAACGGGACAGCUUUGAAAUAAGUUUUUGAGAGUUUGAAAGCCAAGAAUCACUGCUUCAUUACCUCCUCUGUUAAGUUCGUUGUCAACUUCUACUGAUUUUAGUUCAUAUACCUGUUUUAAACCAAAGUAUAGCUUGAACUAGGAAUUUUGUUCAUGUGUUUAAAGAACCCCAGUACUCUUUAAAGAACUUCAGAUUGAGUUCAAGGUCGUCUGUUGUCUGCUACUGUUUUCUUCUGUUGAAAUCACCUGGGUUCGAGCCAUUCUGGGAUUUAUUGUUUUGUUGCUUCACUGUUGCUGCUGUGCUGUGUGUGCUACUGGUGCUGUCAUCACUGACUUUCCUUCUCCUUCUUUGUUAUCAGGUAUACAUUGCUAUUCUGGUACACUUAUAGGCUGAAAUAUAUUGAAGCAUGACUAAGAUGAAGAUUUGAGGCCUUGAAUCCUUAGUUGUAUUUUGUAUGUUUACCCAUAUAUAUAUUAGUUAGUUGCUUCUAUUAGAAUCAUGUAAAUUACUUUGUUAUGUACAACCGGGCCUAGGGCAUUAGUCUAACGAAUGGACUGUUUUCUAUGUUAGUUCGACAGUGUUCAUGGUGUAGUGACAACUGACAACAUCCUAGUAUUUAGUUUACUCUUUACAAAGUAUGUUUAAAUACGUAUAAGUUUUUAGGAUCAUUGCUCAAUAGUUUGAACUAUUUCAGUUUAACAAGUUUGUAUAUCUAUAUUCACAAAAAGGGGCUUCAUUAGACACUACUUUCAUUAUUGCUUCUUAAAUCUCAAAACAAGUGUAAAAUAAGUAUCAGGCCCAAUGCUAGCAUAGAAAUGGCCCAGGCCUAGCAUCACGUCAUAUACAGGGGGGCCUGGGCCCAAGAUGUUAAACUGUUCUGCCCUUCUACCAUGUGGAUUUUUAGAAUUAAUGUAAACUCGUUUGGAUACUUAGUUAUGAUAAACU
rnacentral:lncRNA from 1 species